GGGGCAUUGGCGCAGCUGGUAGCGCAUCUGCUUUGCAAGCAGAGGGUCGCCGGUUCGAACCCGGCAUGCUCCA
rfam:Bifidobacterium callitrichos DSM 23973 Contig18, whole genome shotgun sequence.